rnacentral:rRNA from 1 species
AAAUUGAAGAGUUUGAUCAUGGCUCAGAUUGAACGCUGGCGGCAGGCCUAACACAUGCAAGUCGAACGGUAACAGGAAGCAGCUUGCUGCUUCGCUGACGAGUGGCGGACGGGUGAGUAAUGUCUGGGAAACUGCCUGAUGGAGGGGGAUAACUAUUGGAAACGGUGGCUAAUACCGCAUAACGUCGCAAGACCAAAGAGGGGGACCUUCGGGCCUCUUGCCAUCAGAUGUGCCCAGAUGGGAUUAGCUGGUUGGUGAGGUAACGGCUCACCAAGGCGACGAUCCCUAGCUGGUCUGAGAGGAUGACCAGCCACACUGGAACUGAGACACGGUCCAGACUCCUACGGGAGGCAGCAGUGGGGAAUAUUGCACAAUGGGCGCAAGCCUGAUGCAGCCAUGCCGCGUGUAUGAAGAAGGCCUUCGGGUUGUAAAGUACUUUCAGCGGGGAGGAAGGUGUUGUGGUUAAUAACC